rnacentral:rRNA from 1 species
UACGAAGGGUGCAAGCGUUACUCGGAAUUACUGGGCGUAAAGCGUGCGUAGGCGGUUUGUUAAGUCUGUCGUGAAAGCCCCGGGCUCAACCUGGGAAUGGCGAUGGAUACUGGCGAGCUAGAGUACGGUAGAGGAGAGUGGAAUUCCCGGUGUAGCGGUGAAAUGCGUAGAGAUCGGGAGGAACAUCAGUUGCGAAGGCGGCUCUCUGGACCAGUACUGACGCUGAGGCACGAAAGCGUGGGGAGCAAACAGG